rnacentral:rRNA from 1 species
UACGUAGGGACCAAGCGUUGUUCGGAAUUACUGGGCGUAAAGGGCUCGUAGGCGGCCAACUAAGUCACACGUGAAAUCCCCAGGCUCAACCUGGGAACUGCGUCCGAUACUGGAUGGCUUGAGUUUGGGAGAGGGAUGCGGAAUUCCAGGUGUAGCGGUGAAAUGCGUAGAUAUCUGGAGGAACACCGGUGGCGAAGGCGGCAUCCUGGACCAACACUGACGCUGAGGAGCGAAAGCCAGGGGAGCAAACGGG